rnacentral:rRNA from 1 species
GACGAACGCUGGCGGCGUGCUUAACACAUGCAAGUCGAACGGAAAGGCCCUGCGGUUGUGGGGUGCUCGAGUGGCGAACGGGUGAGUAACACGUGAGUAACCUGCCCUGGAUUUUGGGAUAACUUCAGGAAACUGGGGCUAAUACCGGAUAGGAGCUCCUGCUGCAUGGUGGGGGUUGGAAAGUUUGGGCGGUUGGGGAUGGACUGCCGGCUUAUCAGCUUGUUGGUGGGGUAGUGGCUUACCAAGGCUUUGACGGGUAGCCGGCCUGAGAGGGUGACCGGCCACAUUGGGACUGAGAUACGGCCCAGACUCCUACGGGCGGCAGCAGUGGGGAAUAUUGCACAAUGGGCGGAAGCCUGAUGCAGCAACGCCGCGUGCGGGAUGACGGCCUUCGGGUUGUAAACCGCUUUCGCCUGUGACGAAGCGUGAGUGACGGUAAUGGGUAAAGAAGCACCGGCUAACUACGUG